GGGUGCGAUCAUAACAGCACAAAUGCACCGGAUCUCAUUAGAACUCCGUAAUUUAGCGUGCUUGGGCGAGAUUAGUACUAGAUGGGCGACCUCUUUGGAAGUCCUCAUGUUGCACCCU
rnacentral:rRNA from 1 species